rnacentral:rRNA from 1 species
GAUGAACGCUGGCGGCGUGCCUAAUACAUGCAAGUCGAGCGAACGGACGAGAAGCUUGCUUCUCUGAUGUUAGCGGCGGACGGGUGAGUAACACGUGGAUAACCUACCUAUAAGACUGGGAUAACUUCGGGAAACCGGAGCUAAUACCGGAUAAUAUUUUGAACCGCAUGGUUCAAAAGUGAAAGACGGUCUUGCUGUCACUUAUAGAUGGAUCCGCGCUGCAUUAGCUAGUUGGUAAGGUAACGGCUUACCAAGGCAACGAUGCAUAGCCGACCUGAGAGGGUGAUCGGCCACACUGGAACUGAGACACGGUCCAGACUCCUACGGGAGGCAGCAGUAGGGAAUCUUCCGCAAUGGGCGAAAGCCUGACGGAGCAACGCCGCGUGAGUGAUGAAGGUCUUCGGAUCGUAAAACUCUGUUAUUAGGGAAGAACAUAUGUGUAAGUAACUGUGCACAUCUUGACGGUACCUAAUCAGAAAGCCACGGCUAACUACGUGCCAGCAGCCGCGGUAAUACGUAGGUGGCAAGCGUUAUCCGGAAUUAUUGGGCGUAAAGCGCGCGUAGGCGGUUUUUUAAGUCUGAUGUGAAAGCCCACGGCUCAACCGUGGAGGGUCAUUGGAAACUGGAAAACUUGAGUGCAGAAGAGGAAAGUGGAAUUCCAUGUGUAGCGGUGAAAUGCGCAGAGAUAUGGAGGAACACCAGUGGCGAAGGCGACUUUCUGGUCUGUAACUGACGCUGAUGUGCGAAAGCGUGGGGAUCAAACAGGAUUAGAUACCCUGGUAGUCCACGCCGUAAACGAUGAGUGCUAAGUGUUAGGGGGUUUCCGCCCCUUAGUGCUGCAGCUAACGCAUUAAGCACUCCGCCUGGGGAGUACGACCGCAAGGUUGAAACUCAAAGGAAUUGACGGGGACCCGCACAAGCGGUGGAGCAUGUGGUUUAAUUCGAAGCAACGCGAAGAACCUUACCAAAUCUUGACAUCCUUUGACAACUCUAGAGAUAGAGCUUUCCCCUUCGGGGGACAAAGUGACAGGUGGUACAUGGUUGUCGUCAGCUCGUGUCGUGAGAUGUUGGGUUAAGUCCCGCAACGAGCGCAACCCUUAAGCUUAGUUGCCAUCAUUAAGUUGGGCACUCUAAGUUGACUGCCGGUGACAAACCGGAGGAAGGUGGGGAUGACGUCAAAUCAUCAUGCCCCUUAUGAUUUGGGCUACACACGUGCUACAAUGGACAAUACAAAGGGCAGCGAAACCGCGAGGUCAAGCAAAUCCCAUAAAGUUGUUCUCAGUUCGGAUUGUAGUCUGCAACUCGACUACAUGAAGCUGGAAUCGCUAGUAAUCGUAGAUCAGCAUGCUACGGUGAAUACGUUCCCGGGUCU